GUUCAAAAAUAAGGGAUGGGGCUCAACAUCUCUCCUAGACUGAAAAACAGGUGUUUUUGGACUAGGCUAUUUAGUCUUAAGUCCUUCGAGGACUCCGUUAUUAAGGUGAUGACACCGGUGGAUACUCCUCUAGUCUACCGCUCUGUC
rnacentral:ncRNA from 14 species